GACGAACGCUGGCGGCGUGCCUAAUACAUGCAAGUAGAACGCAGUUGCGAACGGGUGAGUAACGCGUAGGUAACUGCCUCAUAGCGGGGGAUAACUAUUGGAAACGAUAGCUAAUACCGCCUACUGUGAGAUGGACCUGCGUUGGAUUAGCUAGUUGGUGAGGUAAAGGCUCACCAAGGCGACGAUACAUAGCCGACCUGAGAGGGUUAUGCGCCACACUUGGAAUGGUGCCCCGCCCAGACUCCCACGGGAAGCAGCCGGAGGGAAUUUUCGGCAAUGGACCGAAGGUUGAACGGGGAACGGCCGCGGAAUUAAGAAGGUUUUCGGAUCGGAAAGCUCCGGUGUUAGAGAAGCGGUAACUAACCAGAAAGGGACGGCUAACUACGUGCCAGCAGCCGCGGUAAUAC
rnacentral:rRNA from 1 species